GACGAACGCUGGCGGCGUGCUUAACACAUGCAAGUCGAAUGGAAAGGCCCUGCUUUUGUGGGGUGCUCGAGUGGCGAACGGGUGAGUAACACGUGAGUAACCUGCCCUUGACUUUGGGAUAACUUCAGGAAACUGGGGCUAAUACCGGAUAGGAGCUCCUGCUGCAUGGUGGGGGUUGGAAAGUUUCGGCGGUUGGGGAUGGACUCGCAGCUUAUCAGCUUGUUGGUGGGGUAGUGGCUUACCAAGGCUUUGACGGGUAGCCGGCCUGAGAGGGUGACCGGCCACAUUGGGACUGAGAUACGGCCCAGACUCCUACGGGAGGCAGCAGUGGGGAAUAUUGCACAAUGGGCGGAAGCCUGAUGCAGCAACGCCGCGUGCGGGAUGACGGCCUUCGGGUUGUAAACCGCUUUCGCCUGUGACGAAGCGUGAGUGACGGUAAUGGGUAAAGAAGCACCGGCUAACUACGUG
rnacentral:rRNA from 1 species